ACCUGAAUUUGUCGACGCUAUCUGGGGUUGCAUUGAGGCAUCCAACACCUGGAGGUUUAGGAGAGCGAGCUGUUGAGCGCAUUGCGUGCUUGCCUUCGAGUUAUUGAAAAGCGUGAGACACGUUGGCGUGUGCAAUGGUACUAUCGUAUGUUCGAGGCCACACAGGAUGGCUUGGGUAAAAAUGCCCCUGUUCACAGUAUACAUGGCUCUUUACUUGCAGUUGGAGAGCUUAUGAGACUGAUGGAGGAAUGGUGGGAAUGAUGCUGAAUGAAAGGUUGACAAGACUUUAUGCUUGUGAAAUUUAGAUUUCUAAAA